ACAUAAAUAUACAAAAUACCUCUGAAAUUUUUUAGAGGUAUUUUGGUUAAUUUAUAUUUUUCUUGAGUAAUCAUCUAUCCUGUCUUGAAAAGUCAAGGUAUGACCUAAACCUUAAGGAUCUUCUUUUUUAAUAUCUAAUUAAGACAAUUUGACAGUGAGUUGGUCUAGAAAUCAUUAGGAACUAGAUUCAGUUGUACUCAACCAAUUUUGAACCAUUAUAUAUUUUUGUUUUGUAUAUAGAGCAUUUUUUUAAUAAAUGUAUUUGUUAUUAUUCGGAUGGGUGUGAUUUCAUGCACAUGAAGGUACGACAUCACCCUUGUGGAGCACAUUAAUAGUAUUUAAUGCUUCAUGUGGGUGAUAUCACAGCCCAUGUAGGUGACAUCGCACCUUCUUUAAAACCAAAAAUACCGUUAUUCAAAAAACGCUUUAUAUAUAUAUAUAUAUAUAUAUAUAAAGUCUUCCUAUGAGAAAGCAACAGUAAUCUUGCCACACCACCAUCCACCGUCCGAUCAAAUUAAUUAAAAAUAGCAGUUAAGAUCUGCUCCAAAAUCCAUCGUGCGAAAGGCCGCGAUGGAAUUAAAAGCUUCAAACCUGUCGAAAUUUCACCCUCUACCCUCCUCUGCUUUGGUAACCUCCCUUCUCUCUCCUUCCCCAUCUCUACUACUCUGCGGAGGUCCCCUCUCUCCCGUGGCCCUCUCAUCUCUCUACGCUGCUGCUCUCAUACUCUCUGCGCUGCUGCCCUCACGCCAUCUCAUUGCUCGGCCCCUUCUCUCAAUGCCUUUCUCUCUCACCAGCUGUUUUAGAGAGAGAAGAAGAAACCCAACAGGUUUUAGUUCUCUCUAUAUUAUGACUUUGCAUAUCAUUUUUCCUUUCUCCAUUGAUAUAUGGAACGUGAGCUCUCUAUCUCUCAGCCUGCAUUAAUUCCGUUUGUAUCAUUUUUUGGCUUGGUAUGGAUUUUUUUGUGUGCCCUUUUACCCAAUUUUUUUUUGGUUAGUUCUCUCUCUAUUACGAUUUUGAAUAUCAUUUUUCCUUUCACCAUUGAUAGAUGGAACGUGAGCUCUCCACCUCUCAGCCUGCAUUAAUUCAGUUUGUAUCAUUUUUAGGCUUGGUAUGGAUUUUUUGUUGUGCCCUUUUACCCAAUUUUUUUUUAUGAAUUCAAUCACAAAAAUAGAGAAACAAUGGUGCAGUUGGAUUUUAUUACUUUCUUUUAUCAUUGAUUCUGAAAAAAAAUUGAAUUAGAUGUUUAUAAAUGGAUUUCAGUGCACAAUUUUUAUUGUUUGGAUCUAUUACUUGAAGAAGUUGCAAUGAAUACUGCUGAAUGCCCUAAUACAAAAAAUAAUGCAUGACUUUCAAUUGAAAUUUUAAUACAAUUAUUUGGUUUUAUGUUAUGCUUUUAUUCUCUAUUUCACAAUGCAAUUUUUUCUUUUAUUUUUUAAAUAAAUAUGGGUUCAAUGUUCAUUUCCCUAAAGUUGAAGUUUGGAAUAAAAUCUUAGGGUUUUAUGUUGCUUACUUUCUGUUAAUGGUGCAAAUAGGUUCAUGCGAGAUGAGCUUUUGUCUCAAGUAUUGGAAGCUCUUCUUGUCAUCCAGGUUCUUGUAGUACGGAAAUCAAAAUUGAUAAGUGAUUGCAAUCGGUUAUUGAAUGUAUCUCUUGGACAAUCUUCUGCUUGAGACUAGUGAAAACAAGUGCCAUUGCAUACGGGCCUACAUUUUUGGUUUGUUGAUCCUUGGAGAAGAAAGAAAGGGUCUAAAAUCUCUGUGGGAGGACAUCCACCAUAGCGCAAAGCUCUUGAGGCAUUCGGCUACCUAUGAACAUAUUGUCCAAUCCCAUUAGAGGAGCUCGAGGAGAAAAAUGCGAAUGAUGAUGUACUUAGGGCCAUUGGAGAGAGUAGCUCUCGAUCGGAGGAUCAGAUCCCGACACAACCCAUUACUAUGCCAAUGCUAACGGAGGAGGUUGGACGGGCAUACUAUGCUUGUAUCAUGGAUGUCUCAAUAUCAGCAUCUCCCUCCUCUCCCCUCAACAUUACCAAUUCAAAAAAUGGGAAUGAGUGUGGUGCUCAGGCUAUAGUGGAUGAAGCUUGCCAUGAUUUUCCAUUUGAUGAGGAUAUAGUUGCAAUAAAUGGAGAGGAGAUUUGUCACUUAUGGAUGCUGAGGCAGCCUUAGCAAGAGGUGCAAGUAUCGAACGUACAAUAAGAAUGGCAUUUAUUAAUGAAGAUGAAGCUUAUGAUUAUUAUAAUAAGUACGCAAAAUUUGUUUGGUUUGGUAUAAGAAAGGGAAAGAAAUGUAAAGUUUGCAAUAAGAGUGGACAUGACAAACGUAACUGUCCCAUGAGGGUACGUGGGAUGUAGAGCUACUAAGGACCUCUAGCCAAGUUGACUAAUUUAUGGGGAAUGUAAAGGAGUUGACUAAUUUUUUGAAUUUUGGAGACUUGUAAAUACCCUUUUUUGUAGUUGACUUUGAGGGUUAAGUGAAUAUUCAAUAUUCAUGUAAUUUUGUGGGCAUGUAAAGAACCCCUCUAUGAGGGCAUGUAAAUGGGCAUCUAAAUAACCUAUUUGGUCA